rnacentral:lncRNA from 1 species
AAUAGCAUUUGAUUUUGGAAUAAGUAGUUAAUGAGUCUUUGAUGUUUGGAGUCUUGGAUGCUUUUAGGGGGAACAUGUUGCAAGUGUGAAGCUCAACAUCACCUGCUUGGAUAAAUAUUCAUUAUAAUCUUUAAAUUGUAUUCAUUUUCAGCUACACUGUUGAGGCCCUUGUUGGCCAGAAGCCCCAGCUUGGUAAUAGGUGUCCAAGAACUUCAGGAGUGGCUCCUAAGAUUUCUGCUCUGAUCUGUUUUAGCUUGACCGAUGGUGGCACUGAAAAGGUUUGGAAUCCACAUGUACAAGUUCUCGUGCUGGCCCUUUGAGGAUGGAAGGCAUUCGUUGAGGAGGGGAUGAUCUUUAAGAUUUUGAGACAAAUGAUUCAUGGUGGCCUCAAUGUCAAGAAAGGAGGAGAUGGUUCUCAGCAGCAACAGCAGCAGCCAACACAAAAGUCUCUGCUCAGACAAAACCACCUCUGAGGAGAUUCCCUGUCUGGACUGGAUAGGCUGUGUAGGAGUCACCACCUUCUCAAGACCAAAGGCUCCUAAAGGACAGGCAAAGUCAAGUUUGAUGCUCUACACCCCGAUGCCAAAUCCUGCACUUGGAUCAUAGGAAGUGUUUAUUGAAUUCAAUUGGUUGAAUGAAAGAUGAAUGAUGAGGGAGGGAAUAAGUGUAUGUCAGUUGUGAAGGCUUCUCUGAAAACAAAUCAUGAUGACCAUGACUUAGCCCUCUUGCUUGAACAUCUCUGCCUGUUGUCUUUUAUACAGUUCAUAAAGCAAAUCAAUCAAGUAAGAUCUUCCAGGCUGGGGCUUAAUGUUGCCCAGCAAAGAGAUGGUCCAGUCAGACCUUCCCUCCCCUGGAUUGGUUGAAUUCUAUCUCUCUCCAAGAAGCACCAAUAAUGAUCUUUCUAGUGCAAUCAUCAGGCCAUGUCUUGCUCCAGGUUAGCAUCCUCCCAUCACUUCCAACUGAGUCAUGUCUCAAUGACUUAAUGAAGCAUCCAAGUCUCUUUGUAGCUGUAAAUCAAGUGGUCUUCCCACCCCCAUUUUCUACCUCAGCUUCUUCUUUCUUCCAGAAAUUCUGCUUUGACUCUAGUCAUGGGCAUUAAGCUGCUUCCUUUGCUAGAAAGCUCUACUCUUUUAUGCUUAAACAAUUCCAACUCUUCCUAUAUGAACCAGUGCAAAUAUCACUCUCCCUGAGAAGUCUUUGCAUAUUUCUUCAGAGAGUGCUCUUCAGUUACUUUUUUU